rnacentral:rRNA from 1 species
GCAAGUCGAACGGGCUAGUGCUUCGCACUAGUCUCUUUCUGGGGUUGUUACUCUAAGGCUACCUGCUAAAGUUAUUGCUUUAAAGCAGGGGUUUUAGGUAGAGUUUCCCCGAAAGGGGCCAGUGCGGAGCACUGGCCAGUGGCGAACGGGUGAGUAACACGUGGGUAAUCUACCCUCGAGUGGGGAAUAAGCUUCCAAAGGGGGUCUAAUGCCGCAUAACGUUUCAUAACGAUGGUUAUGAAACCAAAGCCCAAAAGGCGCUCGAGGAGGAGCCUGCGUCCUAUCAGCUUGUUGGCAGGGUAAUGGCCUACCAAGGCUAUGACGGGUAGCCGGCCUGAGAGGGUGUCCGGCCACACUGGAACUGAGACACGGUCCAGACUCCUACGGGAGGCAGCAGUGGGGAAUUUUGCGCAAUGGGGGAAACCCUGACGCAGCGACGCCGCGUGGAGGAUGACGGCCUUCGGGUUGUAAACUCCUGUCAGAAGGGACGAAAUCCCGCAAGGGACUGACGGUACCUUCAGAGGAAGCCCCGGCUAACUACGUG